rnacentral:rRNA from 1 species
CGAACGGGUGAGUAAUGCGUGACCAACCUGCCCCAUGCUCCAGAAUAGCUCUUGGAAACGGGUGGUAAUGCUGGAUGCUCCAACUUGACGCAAUGUCUUGUUGGGAAAGUGUUUAGUGGCAUGGGAUGGGGUCGCGUCCUAUCAGCUUGUAGGCGGGGUAAUGGCCCACCUAGGCUUCGACGGGUAGCCGGCCUGAGAGGGCGGACGGCCACAUUGGGACUGAGAUACGGCCCAGACUCCUACGGGAGGCAGCAGGA